UCAUCUCCGGGGGUAGAGCACUGUUUCGGCAAGGGGGUCAUCCCGACUUACCAACCCGAUGCAAACUGCGAAUACCGGAGAAUGUUAUCACGGGAGACACACGGCGGGUGCUAACGUCCGUCGUGAAGAGGGAAACAACCCAGACCGCCAGCUAAGGUCCCAAAGUCAUGGUUAAGUGGGAAACGAUGUGGGAAGGCCCAGACAGCCAGGAUGUUGGCUUAGAAGCAGCCAUCAUUUAAAGAAAGCGUAAUAGCUCACUGGUCGAGUCGGCCUGCGCGGAAGAUGUAACGGGGCUAAACCAUGCACCGAAGCUGCGGCAGCGACACUGUGUGUUGUUGGGUAGGGGAGCGUUCUGUAAGCCUGUGAAGGUGUACUGUGAGGUAUGCUGGAGGUAUCAGAAGUGCGAAUGCUGACAUAAGUAACGAUAAAGCGGGUGAAAAGCCCGCUCGCCGGAAGACCAAGGGUUCCUGUCCAACGUUAAUCGGGGCAGGGUGAGUCGACCCCUAAGGCGAGGCCGAAAGGCGUAGUCGAUGGGAAACAGGUUAAUAUUCCUGUACUUGGUGUUACUGCGAAGGGGGGACGGAGAAGGCUAUGUUGGCCGGGCGACGGUUGUCCCGGUUUAAGCGUGUAGGCUGGUUUUCCAGGCAAAUCCGGAAAAUCAAGGCUGAGGCGUGAUGACGAGGCACUACGGUGCUGAAGCAACAAAUGCCCUGCUUCCAGGAAAAGCCUCUAAGCAUCAGGUAACAUCAAAUCGUACCCCAAACCGACACAGGUGGUCAGGUAGAGAAUACCAAGGCGCUUGAGAGAACUCGGGUGAAGGAACUAGGCAAAAUGGUGCCGUAACUUCGGGAGAAGGCACGCUGAUAUGUAGGUGAAGCGACUUGCUCGUGGAGCUGAAAUCAGUCGAAGAUACCAGCUGGCUGCAACUGUUUAUUAAAAACACAGCACUGUGCAAACACGAAAGUGGACGUAUACGGUGUGACGCCUGCCCGGUGCCGGAAGGUUAAUUGAUGGGGUUAGCGCAAGCGAAGCUCUUGAUCGAAGCCCCGGUAAACGGCGGCCGUAACUAUAACGGUCCUAAGGUAGCGAAAUUCCUUGUCGGGUAAGUUCCGACCUGCACGAAUGGCGUAAUGAUGGCCAGGCUGUCUCCACCCGAGACUCAGUGAAAUUGAACUCGCUGUGAAGAUGCAGUGUACCCGCGGCAAGACGGAAAGACCCCGUGAACCUUUACUAUAGCUUGACACUGAACAUUGAGCCUUGAUGUGUAGGAUAGGUGGGAGGCUUUGAAGUGUGGACGCCAGUCUGCAUGGAGCCGACCUUGAAAUACCACCCUUUAAUGUUUGAUGUUCUAACGUUGACCCGUAAUCCGGGUUGCGGACAGUGUCUGGUGGGUAGUUUGACUGGGGCGGUCUCCUCCUAAAGAGUAACGGAGGAGCACGAAGGUUGGCUAAUCCUGGUCGGACAUCAGGAGGUUAGUGCAAUGGCAUAAGCCAGCUUGACUGCGAGCGUGACGGCGCGAGCAGGUGCGAAAGCAGGUCAUAGUGAUCCGGUGGUUCUGAAUGGAAGGGCCAUCGCUCAACGGAUAAAAGGUACUCCGGGGAUAACAGGCUGAUACCGCCCAAGAGUUCAUAUCGACGGCGGUGUUUGGCACCUCGAUGUCGGCUCAUCACAUCCUGGGGCUGAAGUAGGUCCCAAGGGUAUGGCUGUUCGCCAUUUAAAGUGGUACGCGAGCUGGGUUUAGAACGUCGUGAGACAGUUCGGUCCCUAUCUGCCGUGGGCGCUGGAGAACUGAGGGGGGCUGCUCCUAGUACGAGAGGACCGGAGUGGACGCAUCACUGGUGUUCGGGUUGUCAUGCCAAUGGCACUGCCCGGUAGCUAAAUGCGGAAGAGAUAAGUGCUGAAAGCAUCUAAGCACGAAACUUGCCCCGAGAUGAGUUCUCCCUGAC
rnacentral:rRNA from 1 species